GCCCUGGUGGAUCAGCCUCAAAUUGUCCGCUGAAGAUCUCCUCCUGCAAUUUUAGAGGAAGGUGGAGGUUCGAAUCCUCCCUAGGGUG